AGAGUUUGAUCCUGGCUCAGGAUGAACGCUAGCGGCAGGCCUAAUACAUGCAAGUCGGACGGGAUUCAGGGAGUAGCUUGCUACGAACUGAUGAGAGUGGCGCACGGGUGCGUAACGCGUGAGCAACCUACCCAUAUCAGGGGGAUAGCCUCUCGAAAGAGAGAUUAACACCGCAUAACAUCAUUUACCGGCAUCGGUUUUUGAUCAAAUAUUUAUAGGAUAUGGAUGGGCUCGCGUGACAUUAGCUAGUUGGAGAGGUAACGGCUCACCAAGGCUACGAUGUCUAGGGGCUCUGAGAGGAGAAUCCCCCACACUGGUACUGAGACACGGACCAGACUCCUACGGGAGGCAGCAGUAAGGAAUAUUGGUCAAUGGAGGCAACUCUGAACCAGCCAUGCCGCGUGCAGGAUGACGGUCCUAUGGAUUGUAAACUGCUUUUGUACAGGAAGAAAAAGAGUUACGUGUAGCUUAUUGACGGUACUGUAAGAAUAAGGAUCGGCUAACUCCGUGCCAGCAGCCGCGGUAAU
rnacentral:rRNA from 1 species